CCUACGGGUGGCAGCAGUGGGGAAUAUUGGGCAAUGGAGGAAAGUCUGACCCAGCAACGCCGCGUGAAUGAUGAAGGCCUUCGGAUUGUAAAGUUCUUUUCUAAGGGAAGAAGAAAGUGACGGUACCUUAGGAAUAAGCCUCGGCUAACUACGUGCCAGCAGCCGCGGGAAUACGUAGGUGGCAAGCGUUGUCCGGAUUUACUGGGUGUAAAGGGCGUGUAGGCGGGAAGGCAAGUCAGAUGUGAAAUCCGGAGGCUCAACCUCCGACUUGCAUUUGAAACUGUUUUUCUUGAGUACUGGAGAGGCAGGCGGAAUGCCUUGUGUAGCGGUGAAAUGCGUAGAUAUAAGGAGGAACACCAGUGGCGAAGGCGGUCUGCUGGACAGCAACUGACGGUGAGGCGCGAAAGCGUGGGGAGCAAACAGGAUUAGAUACCCGUGUAGUC
rnacentral:rRNA from 1 species